CACCAAAAAGAAAACGCAUACGCGCGUUGAGGCAGCAGUAGUGCAGGGGGCAAGCGGCCUUUUUACUUCGUUUUUCCCCGCAUUCACUGCUCAGAGAGAGAGAGAUCCGCCGAGCACAGACGCGCGAACUCCUCAAUCAUGCGCCGUACACGUCUAGUGUGCACGGCGACGCCGGAGAAGUUUAGCAUCCUUGGCACCACCCAUCCUAAGCCGAAGCGCAACGGCAUGGGCCGUAACAACAAGAUGCGCAGCAAGCCUAGCGACAACGUGGCGUGGUACGACAAGGGUCCUGUGGAGUGGCUUCCGCGCCCCGUUCGGCUCACCUACGACCAGCUCGACCAGCUGCGCGACUGGGUGAUGCGCGAGACCAUUGCUGGGCGCACGGAGGAAUUCAACAAGAUCCGCCACCUGCACCGGGAGUGGUCGCAGCACCCGCUCAUGCCAGUGCUUGGCGAUGUCGAGCCGAAGUUUCCGCUCAACUUGUACAAGCAGAACCAUCGCGCGAAGAGGCGCUUCCUGGUGCGUUGGCACAAGGCAAACAGUCCAGCCUACUGGAUGUGGAUGCCGCGUGGUCCCGCGGUGGCGACUCCUCUCCACCGCUCAAUCCCCUCACAGUUUCCGGAGCAUUGGAAGUCACUAGCGCGCACUAGCAGCAGCAGCAGGGGCGGCGGCAGCAGCGGCAGUAGCUCCGUAGCUCAAUAAGCAAAACGUGAAGACAACGAAGCAGGCUCCCCGCUUACCUGGGACGGCGAGCAGUGCUAGCUGCGCACACGUGCAUGUUACGCUCGAAACAGAAACGUGCUCUCCUUCUUAGUCGCCGCAUCUCGCCGUCUCGUAGGGUUGUGAUGCUACUGCACAGUUUCGUUUGAGUGCGCUUUCUUCGCGCUUGCGUGCGUGCUUGUUUCGUGUGUGUGUGUGUGUGUGUGUGUGUUUGUGUGUGUGCUUGUGCCUCGUCCAUGAGCGUUGCACAGCGCGUGCAGCUGUUGUGACGGUGGGCAAUGCCUUUUCUUGGCGGUUGGCCGGCACGGUAUUGAGGUGUGUACGUGCGCGGGUGUCGCUUAGUGGUCCCGUGGUUUGCUGUAAUUACAGUCCUCUUGAAGAAAAGGAGUUUAAAGAUGAGGGAGGCGGUGGGCAGAGUUGGAGGCAGAGGCCGUGCUCUCAGAUGGCUGAGUCGGCGCAUUGCUGGGGCGCGUGUGUCUACGUCUGCAUCGCACCACGCCAUGGGCCUGCGCGAGGCUGAGGAGAGCCGAGCAGAGUUGAGCUCGUGCACUAAGGCAGCGAAAUGGGCACGCUGACGGCAGAAGCCCAGUUCCAUUCUUUGUUCUUCGUUCCUUCCCACCUCGUUUCUCCUCUGCAUCUCUCCUUCUUUCUCUCUCUUGUGUGCGUCCUGGGUCCGCCUUCGCACCGAAUUGUUUAUUUUUUUUUUCGAGACAUACACAG
rnacentral:misc_RNA from 1 species